GGGAGGCGAGAUAGGACUUGUCUCAACAGCUCGGACUGCUGUGCUUGCUCAGCCUAAAUGGCUUGAAGACUACUUUCCACAUUUCCCAAGCGAUCCCAAGUUUCAUUCACACGCCACUAUAUUCCAUCCAUUCUCCCAGCGUACAUGUUGAACCUACCAUUCAUAGUCUCUAUUUCCCUUCUCGCAGUCGUGGCUUCAUUCAAAGCACCUUUU
rnacentral:lncRNA from 1 species